UAUUAAAAAUUACAUCCAUUUCUACUAUUAAAAACCAGUAUAUAUAGCGAUGGAAUAACCAAACAGUUAUAUAUCCACGUAUAUCUCAUGCUAACAUACAAUGACCAUCUUUUAACGAUAAAAAUGAAUGAAUUUUUUAACC
rfam:Gossypium raimondii Chr01_contig_222, whole genome shotgun sequence.